rnacentral:rRNA from 1 species
GAUGAACGCUGGCGGCGUGCUUAACACAUGCAAGUCGAACGGGAAACCUUUUAUUGAAGCUUCGGCAGAUUUAGCUGGAUUCUAGUGGCGGACGGGUGAGUAACGCGUGGGUAACCUGCCUUAUACAGGGGGAUAACAACCAGAAAUGGUUGCUAAUACCGCAUAAGCGCACAGGACCGCAUGGUCCGGUGUGAAAAACUCCGGUGGUAUAAGAUGGACCCGCGUUGGAUUAGCUAGUUGGCAGGGUAACGGCCUACCAAGGCGACGAUCCAUAGCCGGCCUGAGAGGGUGAACGGCCACAUUGGGACUGAGACACGGCCCAGACUCCUACGGGAGGCAGCAGUGGGGAAUAUUGCAAAAUAGGGGAAACCCUGAUGCAGCGACGCCGCGUGAAGGAAGAAGUAUCUCGGUAUGUGAACUGCUAUCAGCAGGGAAGAUAGUGACGGUACCUGACGAAGAAGCCCCGGCUAACUACGUG